rnacentral:sRNA from 1 species
AGUUUGCACUUAUCGGGAAGGGUGAGAACCUUCGAUUAAGGGUCGAGCGAAAGCGAGACAACGUUGCCAGAGGCAACGGCCCGAAGGGUGAGGAGCGGAGCGACAAAUAAUCCUUCCCCCACCACCA